AGCUUCCCUUGAGAGAGAAAUGUUGUCAAAACACUGCAGGCAAUCAGCUCAAUGUUUCCCCUGCACCAGCAGCGGUUGGACUGCGUCUUAUGGGAGACAAUUAAUGUUUCCCAAAGAUGCGAAAUUCCACCAUUUACGUCAGCGACAGCUAGCUUACCUGCAAAGCGCGAGGACAGUUAUCAAAAAUGGUCGUCGGAUUUGUUGAGCUAGGACCGCUAAUUCUACCAACAAUACAUUCUACGAUGGAUUUGGCGCUCGCUUGGCUUCAGGAUGAACAAUAGCGUGCUUGUUUAAACUUGUCUGAGGAGCGCCAGUAAUGUUGUAAGGCAGGUGUGGAGGUCACAAGUGGUGAUUCAGCUUUGUGGGAAGCAACGAUGGAAAAGAAUGGUGGCAGGAUGGGGAGGAAGAAAGUGCCAUCCCACAGUUACCUUUCACUGUCUGCUAUGAAUAAUGCCAAAGAAAUUAAAUGUGUCAAGGAAAA